rnacentral:rRNA from 1 species
UACGUAGGGACCAAGCGUUGUUCGGAUUUACUGGGCGUAAAGGGCGCGUAGGCGGCCUGACAAGUCACUUGUGAAAUCUCCGGGCUUAACUCGGAAAGGUCAACUGAUACUGCGGGGCUAGAGUGCGGAAGGGGCAACUGGAAUUCUCGGUGUAGCGGUGAAAUGCGUAGAUAUCGAGAGGAACACCUGCGGCGAAGGCGGGUUGCUGGGCCGACACUGACGCUGAGGCGCGAAAGCCAGGGGAGCGAACGGG